rnacentral:rRNA from 1 species
CCUACGGGUGGCAGCAGUAGGGAAUAUUGCUCAAUGGGGGAAACCCUGAAGCAGCAACGCCGCGUGGAGGAUGAAGGUUUUCGGAUUGUAAACUCCUUUUGUUAGAGAAGAUAAUGACGGUAUCUAACGACUAAGCCCCGGCCAACUCCGUUCCAGCCGCCGCGGUAAUACGGAGGGUGCAAGCGUUACUCGGAAUCACUGGGCGUAAAGGGAGCGUAGGCGGGAUAGCAAGUCAGAUGUGAAAUCCUAUGGCUUAACCAGAGAACUGCAUUUGAAACUGUUAUUCUAGAGUAUGGGAGAGGUAGGUGGAAGUCUUGGUGUAGCGGUGAAAUGCGUAGAGAUCAAGAGGAAUACUCAUUGCGAAGGCGACCUGCUAGAACAUAACUGACGCUGAUGCGCGAAAGCGUGGGGAGCAAACAGGAUUAGAUACCCCUGUAGUC